GACGAACGCUGGCGGCGUGCCUAAUACAUGCAAGUAGAACGCUGAAGGAGGAGCUUGCUUCUCUGGAUGAGUUGCGAACGGGUGAGUAACGCGUAGGUAACCUGCCUGGUAGCGGGGGAUAACUAUUGGAAACGAUAGCUAAUACCGCAUAAGAGUAGAUGUCGCAUGACAUUUGCUUAAAAGGUGCAAUUGCAUCACUACCAGAUGGACCUGCGUUGUAUUAGCUAGUUGGUGAGGUAACGGCUCACCAAGGCAACGAUACAUAGCCGACCUGAGAGGGUGAUCGGCCACACUGGGACUGAGACACGACCCAGACUCCUACGGGAGGCAGCAGUAGGGAAUCUUCGGCAAUGGACGGAAGUCUGACCGAGCAACGCCGCGUGAGUGAAGAAGGUUGUCGGAUCGUAAAGCUCUGUUGUAAGAGAAGAACGAGUGUGAGAGUGGAAAGUUCACACUGUGACGGUAUCUUACCAGAAAGGGACGGCUAACUACGUG
rnacentral:rRNA from 1 species